CUUCCUUUUUUCCUUUGGUACCGGGGAUCGAACUCUGGACCUUGUGCUUGCAAGGCAGGCGGUGGCACUACUGAGCUAAAUCCCCGGCUGCCUUUCCCUUUUUUCUGCCUCAUCAGUUUUUCUCCUUGGACAGUCACCCUCUCUGAGCCCUGCACCAACAGUGGCUCGAGUAGACCAGUGACAGUAUAGAGGUGGGUGGCAUGCAACACCCUCUAAGAGCUUCUGCAAAGUCUGUUCCAAGCGUUGCUUCUCUGCCUCCCCCCCACUUCCUCCCUGACCUCAUAAGCUAGUUCUCUCUCAAACUGGGGGUGUGACUGUCACCAGGGCAACAGUAACUACAGGCCCUGGGCAAACAAGCUCAGUUGAAGAUGAUGCAAUUAAAUUGGGUUGGAGGUGAGAAAGAUGAGAGACAAAGGCAGCUCAAAACAUCUGACCGAAGAGUGGAAGUCUCUGAGCUAAGGAGGAGCUGACCUCCAGCUAGUCACAUUUGCUCACAGUAAAAGACUUGGACAGGAAAAAAGAAGGCAAAGAUCACCCAUAAUUCCACGAUUGGAGAAAAUCUACCCUGGUUUCCCUAAUUUAGCAACUGCAGAACAGAAUGGACCCUUUUCCAGGAAGAUGGUGGCCAGCACAGCCCAAAGGCC